rnacentral:lncRNA from 1 species
CAAGCAGGGUGAGCAAACAGAAUUGCCAGUGCUCAGCCUCAGAGAGGAAGGUGGAAUCAAGAAUGGCCAAAUGUUUGAGGAGAGCUGAUGUCAUAACGCAGGAGCAUCCAGAUGACGAGUGAGGGAAUUAGCUCUGAGAAGACAGAGGGAACAGCACAAGUAGAAAGGACUUUAGGUUUCUCCCCUCAUGGUUUCAACCAUUCUGGAUGUGUCACAAAUCAGCUUGCA